GAUGAACGCUGGCGGCGUGCCUAAUACAUGCAAGUCGAGCGAACAGACGAGGAGCUUGCUCCUCUGACGUUAGCGGCGGACGGGUGAGUAACACGUGGAUAACCUACCUAUAAGACUGGGAUAACUUCGGGAAACCGGAGCUAAUACCGGAUAAUAUAUUGAACCGCAUGGUUCAAUAGUGAAAGACGGUUUUGCUGUCACUUAUAGAUGGAUCCGCGCCGCAUUAGCUAGUUGGUAAGGUAACGGCUUACCAAGGCAACGAUGCGUAGCCGACCUGAGAGGGUGAUCGGCCACACUGGAACUGAGACGCGGUCCAGACUCCUACGGGAGGCAGCAGUAGGGAAUCUUCCGCAAUGGGCGGAAACCUGACGGAGCAACGCCGCGUGAGUGAUGAAGGUCGUCGGAUCGUAAAGCUGUGUUAUUAGGGAAGAACAAAUGUGUAAGUAAGUAUGCACGUCUUGACGGUAACUAAUCAAAAAGCCACGGCUAACUACGUG
rnacentral:rRNA from 1 species